rnacentral:pre_miRNA from 1 species
UAAUAUUGAAUGGUUUAUUAGUAAAGCGAAUUUUUGAAUACCUAUCGCCAUAUAAGGUUUUUAAUUUUAUAGUCGGAAGGCCUUCCGAAUUUCGUGAUAAAUGAAAUUUAAA